rnacentral:rRNA from 1 species
GACGAACGCUGGCGGCGUGCUUAACACAUGCAAGUCGAACGCAGUGGCGAACGGGUGAGUAACGCAUAAUCAACCUGCCCUUCAGAGGGGGACCACAGUUGGACACGACUGCUAACCCCGCAUACUGAGGUGGUGUAUUUAGUCGGAUUAGCAAGUGGGAGGGGUAACGGCCCACCAAGGCGAUGCUAAGUAGCCGGUCUGAGAGGGUGAACGGCCACACUGGGACUGAGACACGGCCCAGACUCCUACGGGAGGCAGCAGUAGGGAAUCUUCCGCAAUGGACGAAAGUCUGACGGAGCAACGCCGCGUGAGUGAUGACGGCUUUCGGGUUGUAAAGCUCUGUUAAUAGGGAAGCGGUACCGGAAUAGAAAGCCACGGCUAACUACGUGCCAGCAGCCGCGGUAAUUC